GGUUAAGCGACUAAGCGUACACGGUGGAUGCCCUGGCAGUCAGAGGCGAUGAAGGACGUGCUAAUCUGCGAUAAGCGUCGGUAAGGUGAUAUGAACCGUUAUAACCGGCGAUUUCCGAAUGGGGAAACCCAGUGUGUUUCGACACACUAUCAUUAACUGAAUCCAUAGGUUAAUGAGGCGAACCGGGGGAACUGAAACAUCUAAGUACCCCGAGGAAAAGAAAUCAACCGAGAUUCCCCCAGUAGCGGCGAGCGAACGGGGAGCAGCCCAGAGCCUGAAUCAGUGUGUGUGUUAGUGGAAGCGUCUGGAAAGGCGCGCGAUACAGGGUGACAGCCCCGUACACAAAAAUGCACAUACUGUGAGCUCGAUGAGUAGGGCGGGACACGUGGUAUCCUGUCUGAAUAUGGGGGGACCAUCCUCCAAGGCUAAAUACUCCUGACUGACCGAUAGUGAACCAGUACCGUGAGGGAAAGGCGAAAAGAACCCCGGCGAGGGGAGUGAAAAAGAACCUGAAACCGUGUACGUACAAGCAGUGGGAGCACGCUUCGGCGUGUGACUGCGUACCUUUUGUAUAAUGGGUCAGCGACUUAUAUUCUGUAGCAAGGUUAACCGAAUAGGGGAGCCGAAGGGAAACCGAGUCUUAACUGGGCGUUAAGUUGCAGGGUAUAGACCCGAAACCCGGUGAUCUAGCCAUGGGCAGGUUGAAGGUUGGGUAACACUAACUGGAGGACCGAACCGACUAAUGUUGAAAAAUUAGCGGAUGACUUGUGGCUGGGGGUGAAAGGCCAAUCAAACCGGGAGAUAGCUGGUUCUCCCCGAAAGCUAUUUAGGUAGCGCCUCGUGAAUUCAUCUCCGGGGGUAGAGCACUGUUUCGGCAAGGGGGUCAUCCCGACUUACCAACCCGAUGCAAACUGCGAAUACCGGAGAAUGUUAUCACGGGAGACACACGGCGGGUGCUAACGUCCGUCGUGAAGAGGGAAACAACCCAGACCGCCAGCUAAGGUCCCAAAGUCAUGGUUAAGUGGGAAACGAUGUGGGAAGGCCCAGACAGCCAGGAUGUUGGCUUAGAAGCAGCCAUCAUUUAAAGAAAGCGUAAUAGCUCACUGGUCGAGUCGGCCUGCGCGGAAGAUGUAACGGGGCUAAACCAUGCACCGAAGCUGCGGCAGCGACACUAUGUGUUGUUGGGUAGGGGAGCGUUCUGUAAGCCUGUGAAGGUGUGCUGUGAGGCAUGCUGGAGGUAUCAGAAGUGCGAAUGCUGACAUAAGUAACGAUAAAGCGGGUGAAAAGCCCGCUCGCCGGAAGACCAAGGGUUCCUGUCCAACGUUAAUCGGGGCAGGGUGAGUCGACCCCUAAGGCGAGGCCGAAAGGCGUAGUCGAUGGGAAACAGGUUAAUAUUCCUGUACUUGGUGUUACUGCGAAGGGGGGACGGAGAAGGCUAUGUUGGCCGGGCGACGGUUGUCCCGGUUUAAGCGUGUAGGCUGGUUUUCCAGGCAAAUCCGGAAAAUCAAGGCUGAGGCGUGAUGACGAGGCACUACGGUGCUGAAGCAACAAAUGCCCUGCUUCCAGGAAAAGCCUCUAAGCAUCAGGUAACAUUAAAUCGUACCCCAAACCGACACAGGUGGUCAGGUAGAGAAUACCAAGGCGCUUGAGAGAACUCGGGUGAAGGAACUAGGCAAAAUGGUGCCGUAACUUCGGGAGAAGGCACGCUGAUAUGUAGGUGAAGUCCCUCGCGGAUGGAGCUGAAAUCAGUCGAAGAUACCAGCUGGCUGCAACUGUUUAUUAAAAACACAGCACUGUGCAAACACGAAAGUGGACGUAUACGGUGUGACGCCUGCCCGGUGCCGGAAGGUUAAUUGAUGGGGUUAGCGGUAACGCGAAGCUCUUGAUCGAAGCCCCGGUAAACGGCGGCCGUAACUAUAACGGUCCUAAGGUAGCGAAAUUCCUUGUCGGGUAAGUUCCGACCUGCACGAAUGGCGUAAUGAUGGCCAGGCUGUCUCCACCCGAGACUCAGUGAAAUUGAACUCGCUGUGAAGAUGCAGUGUACCCGCGGCAAGACGGAAAGACCCCGUGAACCUUUACUAUAGCUUGACACUGAACAUUGAGCCUUGAUGUGUAGGAUAGGUGGGAGGCUUUGAAGUGUGGACGCCAGUCUGCAUGGAGCCGACCUUGAAAUACCACCCUUUAAUGUUUGAUGUUCUAACGUUGACCCGUAAUCCGGGUUGCGGACAGUGUCUGGUGGGUAGUUUGACUGGGGCGGUCUCCUCCUAAAGAGUAACGGAGGAGCACGAAGGUUGGCUAAUCCUGGUCGGACAUCAGGAGGUUAGUGCAAUGGCAUAAGCCAGCUUGACUGCGAGCGUGACGGCGCGAGCAGGUGCGAAAGCAGGUCAUAGUGAUCCGGUGGUUCUGAAUGGAAGGGCCAUCGCUCAACGGAUAAAAGGUACUCCGGGGAUAACAGGCUGAUACCGCCCAAGAGUUCAUAUCGACGGCGGUGUUUGGCACCUCGAUGUCGGCUCAUCACAUCCUGGGGCUGAAGUAGGUCCCAAGGGUAUGGCUGUUCGCCAUUUAAAGUGGUACGCGAGCUGGGUUUAGAACGUCGUGAGACAGUUCGGUCCCUAUCUGCCGUGGGCGCUGGAGAACUGAGGGGGGCUGCUCCUAGUACGAGAGGACCGGAGUGGACGCAUCACUGGUGUUCGGGUUGUCAUGCCAAUGGCACUGCCCGGUAGCUAAAUGCGGAAGAGAUAAGUGCUGAAAGCAUCUAAGCACGAAACUUGCCCCGAGAUGAGUUCUCCCUGACUCCUUGAGAGUCCUGAAGGAACGUUGAAGACGACGACGUUGAUAGGCCGGGUGUGUAAGCGCAGCGAUGCGUUGAGCUAACCGGUACUAAUGAACCGUGAGGCUUAACCUU
rnacentral:rRNA from 2 species